GGAUGUGAUCAUACCGGCAAUAAAGCACCGGAUCCCAUCAGAACUCCGAAGUUAAGCGUGCUUGGGCGAGAGUAGUACUAGGAUGGGUGACCUCCUGGGAGGUCCUCGUGUUGCAUUCC
rnacentral:rRNA from 1 species